GCUUGACUCUAAUUGGACCUGUUGGGAAAUUUAGAGCCUUAUAGGUUUGUCUUUAUAAGCAUCUGCAAAGUGUGACUGUCGCCAUUUCUGGGAAGCCCAGAAUGGUCCUGGCCAGGGUUAAUCAUAAAAUUGAGGUAGUGAUUUUAUUCUCAACUGGUGGGUUUGACAGUAGCUAGUUGCUAUGGUCUUCUGCUCACUUCAAAACUCUGAAGAAACACAGUCUGACCUAUUCCUUUUUGAACAUUCAGAAAGACUUCUUCUACUGGAACAUUCCAAAGAUCUCUACACUAGGGCUCUGUUCAGUUUUUGGCUUCCUUAUGUGACAUGGGGCCUAGGUCAACAUUUGGGGGUCUAAAUAUUUACUUUUCUAAGCAUUGUUAUAAUUUAAAUUCCUUUAAGUUAUUCUAUUUUCUGUGUAUAAGUGUUUGCCUGCAUAUACGUCUGUGCAUUGAUUGGUGCCCAGAUGCUCUGGAACUGGAGGUAGACAGAUGUGAGCCACCCGUGGGUGUCGGGAACCUAAUCUGGGUCCUUCUCAGGGGGAUCAAUUGCUCUUCCAGCAGAGACAUCGCUAUAGCUCAUUGUUUAUUUUUCUAUUACCACAAAAGUAAUUGAAAAGAAUCCACAGAGGAGAUGCAUAUUAGGAGAGAAAUGUUAGAUUAAUGACAAAACCACUCAACCAAAUUCUUCUGAGUAGCUGUGCUCUUUCCCAUGCAUGCUUUUUAAUUGCAUACAUUCUAACAUGUGUGCUCCUAAUCUACUUAAACCAAUAUAAAUAAUAAAAUCUGUUGCAGAUUAGAUGCUGAAUUUGAGAGACAAACGUAUAUUCAUAUUUUCCAUAAAAAAUUAAAUUUUCAUACAGAUAAAUAGGAUACUAUCAGAAAAAUAAUUGUAAAGAAUCUUGCUAUUUUUAAUGUGUAUGUAUCGGUGUUUUGCUUGCAUGCAUGUAUAUGUACCUCAUACAUACCUAGGAGGCCCAAAGAGGGUGCCAAAUACCCUGGAACUGAAGCGGCUCACAGUUGUAAGGUAUCACAUGGGUUUUGGGAUGUUGAACCUGUGUCCUCUGGGUGAGCAGUCAUUGCUUUAAACUGCUGAGUCACCUCUCUAGCCCCAUAAAAGUCAUUUUUAAUAAAUUCACACUUUGGAAUAUAUCUUAAAGAAAUGUUCUUUUAACUUAAUAUCCCAAAAGUAAGGUAUGUAAAGCUGUUAAAGCAGUAUUACUCAUAACAGAAAAGGAAUUGGAUUUUUUUUUUUUUUGAGACAAGUGUCACAUUAUGUACCAUUGACUGUUCUAAAACUCUCUAUGUAGACCAGGCUGGCCUUGCACUCACAAAGGUGUGCCUGCCUCUGCCUCCCAAGUUCUGAAAAUAAAGGCAUGUGCCUCCAUGAUGCCUGGCUGGAAAACUCAUUUUCUUAAAGCUUUGUGUUAGACUACUAUAUAUCAUAUUAUGGAAUACAUAACCAUUAAUAAUUUUCUCUCUCUCUGUGGUGGCACUUGCCUUUGAUCCCAGCACUCUGGAAGAGUUCAAAGCCAGCCUGGUCUACAUAGCACAUCCCAGAACAGCAAAGGCUACACUGUGGGACAGGCUUAAAGUGGGCAGGGACUGAAUUAUGUUGAUGAAAAGAUGUUCAUGAAAUAAUGUUAACUAUGAACUAUGUUUUGUACAGAUGCACAUUUGCUUUGUUUAAUUGCUUUAUAAGUGUUUUAUAUUCGGUCUUUGUUUUAUUCAAUUGUUCUAUUAGUAUGAAAAGACACCUUGACCACAGCACCUGUUAUAUAGGGAAUCAUUUAACUGAGCCUUGCUGACAGUUCAGAGGUUUAGUCUGAACAUGGUGGGAAAAAUGGUGUCAUGAAGGCCAACAUGAGUUGGAAGAGCUGAGAGUUCUACAUCUGAAUCAGCAGGCAGCACAGAGAAACACAGGGCCUAGUUUAAUCAUUU
rnacentral:lncRNA from 1 species